UUAAUCGCCUGCCGCUCGCCUCAGGAAGCCGCGGUUAUUUUUUUUGUCUCUUGUUUAACUUUGAUGUGUCGAGUGUGCGGGAACUCUCCGGUCUGGCCUCGCCGCCGGCCGCCUGAAGGGGGUGCGCCGCGGUGGGAGCCGCCGUCGCCGCUGUCACCGAGUCGCUGUCGCCGCCGCCGCUGCUGGUUGUGCGUGAGCGUGUGUGCGCCUGUGUCCUGGCGAGUGUGUGUCUGCGUGCGGCGCCCGGCCUUUACUAUAUACACCAAGGGGUGGGAGGAGGCGGGGAAGGGGAGGGCUUGGGGGAGGCGGCGGAGGAGGGGGAGCAGGAGGGGGGCGAAAGGGUACCCGAGGAGGCGGCGGCGGAGGAGGGACAGGUGAUCUCGCCCACGGGGAGGGCGUGGCCGUGGGCGGCGCGGGGUGCCAGGAGGAAGGGGUGUCGGGGCGGGGAGGGGGACCUUGGGGGGAGCGCCGGGGGAGGGCCGGAGGAGCGGGGACCCUACUGCCUCCCGGCGGGCUGGGGACCAUUCCAGACCCCAGGAUGGAGAAGAGCGAGGAACAGAGCCCAGAAGGGAGGAAGUGGCUGGCUGAUGGAAGUGGGGGAGGUGGGAAGGGCUCAGCGAUCACCCGAAAAUGCCAAUUGUGAUACCGGUGGAAGAUGCUUCUCACAAGGCUUCCCCUCGUCAGUGUUAUCUGCUCAGAAGUACAGUGAAAGCCUCUUCCCAGUGCUGCUGCUGAUGACACCAAAGACCUCAAGGACUCAAGGACAUCAAUUCACGGAAAUACUGCCCAUCCUACCACAAACCCUCAACCUCCAGUUGUAA
rnacentral:lncRNA from 1 species